AUACAGCAAGCGGUGCUAUGGGCAGUCCGGAAACGCGGUUGCUUUAGGACACAUUUAAAAUGUUCCCUGUACAUAUGCUCAUAUUUGCACUGUACGGUCUCCCCCAGGGACUUUUGUUAUGAAAGUUGAGUUUGGCCUGUUUCCUUCUCGCGGUGACGUCAUCUGUGCUCGUGAAACUGACAGGCCACUUGUGGGACGUACCGGGCUUUAAAGAGGCGGACUCCGGUAAAAACCGCGGCUGUGGCUUUUGUGUCUGCGUGUAGCAUAGAGAUGGUCUGCAGCUUCCGCUAGCUGGUCUCCGCCAACAGCAGCCGAACGUGGGAGAGCAACAGCGGCGUCUGAAUGACCCCACCCGUCUUUCCUGGACUUGUGCGGCGAAGCGGUUUGACUGAGAAAUUCCACAGAAGCGCAGAGGUGAGCCGCCACCCAAAUGACACCCCACCAGCGAGGGGCUGUAAGUAUUUUCUUUGCUGUAUUACUCUUUAAAAGAGAGAUGUGUGUGCAUCAGUGCAUGUACAGUGUGUGUGUGUGUGUGUGUGUUUCAGUUACUGGCUAAAACUGGCAUCUCUUAUAUGAGCCUUGUUAGAUGAAGAAAAAAAAAUAUAAUCAACCCCUGAAAACCAGAGACCUAUAAUUAGAAGCCAUUAUACCUCCAUCCUGCCUGGGUUUGUGGUUGCCAUGGUAACCGCCGCCCAACAGGAAGUGGCACUGAAGGCCCAACAGGAAGCGGGUCUGCCUAAACGCGGGUGGGGAAGGUGCCUCCCCCCUCCCCUCCCCUCCCCCCCCCCUCUCUCCACUAUAGGAAAUACAAGGGACAGGAGGGCAGCCCCACCCUCCUCCCUGCCUUUAUAGUUUCCACACAUUACACUUUCAGCCAUUGCAGAAGCGGGGGGCGGGGGGGGGGGGGGGGGUUGUGGUGAAAGAGCUGCCUCACAGUUACCGUCCGGCGAACCCCCGUGGAGGCGCAGCGGCGAACAGAAGCACUGACAGGAGAGCGUCCCGCCAUGCCUGAGGCCCGCUUAAAUAAUAAUAAAGUAUGGUACUGCGGUUAAUGUUUUAAUAGAUAAAUACUUAAUAUCUUCUCAGCAUUGAUCCAUUUAUCCAUCCUUCCUUAUUUCUAUUUACUGCAGUGUUCACACAUAUCAUUUGUUUAAUCAAAAAAAAAUCUCACUCAAUGAGAGUUUUUUUUCUUUUACAUUUCAUUUUAUUUCCUUAGUAUACCUAAAGACAGGUGUUGGAAAUUAGCCUUUGGUUAUAAACACUUGCAGUGCCUCUGAUGCUUGUUUUAACUGCAUGGCUGACUGUAACUGUGCGGCUGACUAACUGUGUGGCUGACUGUAACUGUGCGGCUGACUAACUGUGUGGCUGAAUGUAACUGUGCGGCUGACUAACUGUGUGGCUGACUGUAACUGUGCGGCUGACUAACUGUGUGGCUGAAUGUAACUGUGCGGCUGACUAACUGUGUGGCUGACUGUAACUGUGCGGCUGACUGUAACUGCGUGGCUGACUAACUGUGUGGCUGACUGUAACUGUGCGGCUGACUAACUGUGUGGCUGAAUGUAACUGUGCGGCUGACUAACUGUGUGGCUGACUUAACUGCGCGGCUGACUAACUGUGUGGCUGACUGUAACUGUCUGGCUGACUGUAACUGCGCGGCUGACUAACUGUGUGGCUGACUAUAACUGCGCAGCUGACUAACUGUGUGGCUGAAUGUAACUGCGCAGCUGACUAACUGUGUGGCUGAAUGUAACUGCGCAGCUGACUAACUGUGUGGCUGACUAACUGUGUGGCUGACUGUAUCUGUGUGGCUGACUGUAACUGUGUGGCUGACUGUAACUGCGCGGCUGACUGUAACUGUGUGGCUGACUGUAACUGUGUGGCUGACUGUAACUGUGUGGCUGACUGUAACUGCGUGGCUGACUGUAACUGUGUGGCUGACUGUAACUGUGUGGCUGACUGUAACUGUGUGGCUGACUGUAACUGUGUGGCUGACUGUAACUGUGCGGCUGACUGUAACUGUGCGGCUGACUAACUACGCGGCUGACUGUAACUGUGCGGCUGACUGUAACUGCGCAGCUGACUGUAACUGCGCAGCUGACUGUAACUGCGCGGCUGACUGUAACUGCGUGACUGACUGUAACUGUGGGGCUGACUGUAACUGUGGGGCUGACUGCGGCGGCUCAUGGAGGCGUGCGUUAUGGACAUGCCGCGGCCGUUUCGUUGCUAGGGGCCCGAAAGCUUUCCGUUUGAUUUCUCUCGGCAAUACGGCAUCCCCCCGCAGGAAGAAGGGCAUUUAGCGAAACACCCGUCAGAGGGAAUCAGGCCGGAUUCGAGCUGACCGGGGCGGGUGUGCAUCCGCAGAAAAUUUGGUCUUUCAGGUUUUAAGAACAUUUUAGGAAAUCGAUGCAUGUCAUGUUCAAUUUCAGCAUUUUUUGGAGUUCUGCUGGAACACAAAGGAAGAAAGCCCUGGCGGAGAUGAGGCUCGCCUGUAACACAAACCCGAUUCUCUAGUGCGUUCGAAAAACCAUCUAUUUUUGGAUAUAUGUGGGAGUAUUUCAUGAAAACUGGGAAAUGCACAGUCUAUACUUACAGGAUAGGGAGCGCAUGUAGUAUCUACUGCAGAACUAACACACAGUAAGGCAGUACUUGAAGCCAGACUCAGGAUGGUAAAUUUGUAUCAUCAGAUGCAUUAUAUACACAUUUUAAAAGUAGUUGUAGCCAGUAACAUGAAUCUUAUGGUAAAGGUAAGUAGUCACAUACACUUACAAACAUAUGAAAAACCCAUCUAAUCAAAUGGAUCAUUUUUUAUUGUUAGAAAAUAUAUAUUAACCCUAUUUUAUUCCGUUCAGAUUUUAAAUUAAUCCAGUGAAUCUAGGUCAGAUGUUAAAUGAGUAAUAUUUGUUUGAA